rnacentral:rRNA from 1 species
GGCGGCAGGCCUAACACAUGCAAGUCGAACGGAUCCUUCGGGAUUAGUGGCGGACGGGUGAGUAACACGUGGGAACGUGCCCUUUGGUUCGGGACAACUCAGGGAAACUUGAGCUAAUACCGGAUGAGCCCUACGGGGGAAAGAUUUAUCGCCAUUGGAGCGGCCCGCGUCUGAUUAGCUUGUUGGUGAGGUAAAGGCUCACCAAGGCUACGAUCAGUAGCUGGUCUGAGAGGAUGAUCAGCCACAUUGGGACUGAGACACGGCCCAAACUCCUACGGGAGGCAGCAGUGGGGAAUCUUGCGCAAUGGGCGAAAGCCUGACGCAGCCAUGCCGCGUGAAUGAUGAAGGUCUUAGGAUUGUAAAAUUCUUUCAGCAGGGACGAUAAUGACGGUACCUGCAGAAGAAGCCCCGGCUAACUUCGUGCCAGCAGCCGCGGUAAUACGAAGGGGGCUAGCGUUGCUCGGAAUUACUGGGCGUAAAGGGCGCGUAGGCGGAUCGUUUAAUUAGAGGUGAAAGCCCAGGGCUCAACCCUGGAAUUGCCUUUAAUACUGGCGGUCUUGAAUAUGGCAGA